AAAAAAAAAAAGAAUAUAAUAAUAAAGCAGUGGCGGAGUGGGGAAGCUGCGUUAAUAGUGUUGCAAAGUAUUAGCACGGUCUGCUGCUGGGAGCAGCAAUUUUGCUCCGUCAUUGUCUGAGCUGCAGAGCGGGUGGGUGCCCACUCCCCCUUGCACCCAGCCCCUCGCCAUAGCAAGGUCAGAAGGGAAAGCUGUGCUCCGAUUCCUCUGGAGGAGCAGUCUUUGUUUUUUAAUCCCAGAUCCUGUGUGUUGUGAUAAUCCCAGGGUGUGCUGCAGGGUAAUCUGCUUUCCUGCAGCUGUUAGCUGCCCCUGCAGCUCAGUGCCCAGGUGGCUAGUGGUGCUGGUGGCCCUGGGGCUAAUGGGAGGUAUUAAUGGCUGUUGGAGGAAGGGACAAGUCGCUGCAGUGGUGUUCAGGUGAUCAGGUAGGGGUGCUCAGGGGUGCUGAUUUUGCCUUUGGGAGGGGGCCACCCUGGAUUUGUGGUGCGUAGCAGGGCUCAAAUGGUCAUGAAGUGGGGACACAGUAGGAAAGAAAGGUAUGGGCUUCUGCCCACCCUCCACCGCCUUUACACAGAAUCAUCUCAAAUGCUGGCCCAUUUUGCCCUGGUUUAACCAACAUUAAAGUAUUGCUUUCCCUCCAAAAAAGUAUUUUUCACCCAGACUCCACUCAGCACUGUUCCCUCACUGCGAGCUUCUACAAAGCCUUGUGCCCUGCACACCACUGGAACACAUCCGUGGGGUUACCAGAUUGCUAAGUUCCACACAAGGGAAGUCAGUGCUUUUCCAAGGGAAAAAAAGACUCUGAGAAACAAAGAUCUGAUAGGGCCAUGAUCCUAUGGAUUUCUCUGUGCCUUCAUGGGGGAACAAGAGCUAUUGCUGUCCUGGGGGGAGCAUUUUGGUGCCAAGGUUCAGAUGCAGGCCUUUGAUUCCCACGGAAGCCAUUUUGUCACCCUGGAACUUUUAAGUACAAGCAUAUUUAGUGACAACAAAUCACUUGGGUAUGGAGCCAGAAGCAAGACUUUUCAUCCUUUUCUGCAUUCUUAGCAAGGUUCACUCAGGAAAAAAUAUAUAUCAGGAAACCCACCACUACUCAAAGAGGGUAUGGUAUGUGAUAGGGGUGCAGCAUUAAUGACAUGUGGAAGAGGUGUUUUUUUUUUUUUUAAACCUGCCAAUGGCUACAGCUUUUCUCCUGCACAGCUUCUGGUGCUGUCACUUAGGGAAGUCAGCUGGGCUGAAUUAGCAAUGAAGCCCAAGGAAACAAAAGAAGGCAGGUGGGAGCCAACGUUUGGGCUCUGGGAAGUGGGGGGUGGUGGAGGAGAGCAGUCAAAGCAGGCCCUCUGGGAGGGGGUGGGUGUAGGCCAUGUGUUUCUGUGUAGUUUGCUUGUAGUCCCUUUACUACAGCUUUUCUAACAGGUUCUGGGUGAGCUCCUUGCAGCUCUUCGUGGAUCUCUGUAAGGUGCUCAUCCAUGCGAUGUGAGUUGGCUUGAAGAGGGGACCUUUCUUCAGUGGUCUGAGUGAGCGGCAGUGAAGCAGAAUGAUAUUUCUGUGGCCAGUGCCUGGCACAGGCUGUGUCCAGCUUUUUGGUCAGCACCUUGGGAGCUGAGGCAGGGAAGGCUGUGCCUUUCCUUCGUGUGCUCACCGGGCAGGAGGAGAUGUGGGCAGGAGGAGAGGGGAGUCGGUGCUGCUGCAGAAGAGGGGAUGGAAAGUUUGUCCUGCCUCAGUGCUUCAUGAAUUCUCAUCCUUUGCUCUGCAUUUACCACCGGAGGGGUUCGUGGCCUGGAUCACCUCUCUCCCUGCUUGUUGGCCACAGGGAGCAGAGAAGGGAAUGGGAAGGACCCUGCAUGGAGAGGGGCAGCACCUGCUGGGUGCCCACAUCACCCUGUCCCUUGUCUUCUCUCCCACCAUAAGUAAAACCAUGUCAGAGCUCUGCUGUUGAAUACUGGAGUUGUUUUCUGUGAGGACAGUUGGACAGCCUGAGUCCCAGUCACAUUUUAAAGAUCAUCAGACCUCAGCAGAGAAAGCCCCACGGCCUUCAGCAGGACAAUGUAGGGCUGGAAAGCACCACCAGGGCCUAAAAGAACAGCAGCUAUGAAUAAUUCAAUUAAUCUGUGCAAGAAAAUGAGUAAAUAACAACGUUGUCCUAAGAGUUAUGCUUAAUGUUCCUUGAAUGCUGAUAAUUUUUUAUAUAAUUUAGCAUGCUGGGCUCUUCCAUCCCUGGAGUUCCUUCCAGAUGGGAUAGCAAAAGUGAGAGAAAGAAAGCUGUCACUGCCAUCAGCGCGUUGUUAGAGCUAACGCAGGACUUGUCAAAUGAUGCCUGGUUGCUGCUGAAAAGCUCUGUAUUAGAACGAGGCUGCAAAACUGCAACAUUUAUCACCUGUGAGCAUUAUUUGAAAAGAUCAUUUAGUAUCUGUCAGGGCUGCUGUAAUAUUUUUUUGGCCAAGGAAUUUAAGUGGGAAGAUGUGUGCGCGCGCUUGCACUUCUGAUUAAUUGUAAUUGUAAUCUCACAUAAUGCAAUCCUCAGCUUGACAUUUUUAAAGUAAGGGUAGGUUGGUUGAUUCCUGAAAUUAAUUAUAAUUCAGAUUUUGGAGUGUGAAAUGGAUAGAGAGCUUUCUGUAAACCCUUUAGCCACAGCCAGAAUUUGCACUGAUUUAUUAUGCACUGCUACUAUGCUCUGCUGCUUGUGUCAUGAAAUCUUUAGGAAUUUAUUGUGAGAAAAUGGCUCCUUUUCACAAGUUUGAUGCAAGGAGGAGAUGGAACUGGUAUUUUAAUUACAUUUUUAUAAAGGAAAACAAAGCCAUUCAGGCCUGUGGUCUUUGGUCCCUAAUUCAGAGAGCAGAAAAAACUUUUAUCUGCAUAAAUCCCUGGGUGAAAGUUUUAGCAACAUGAAAGGUAGCAUAUGCUGGGAUAACUUAUUUUCCUUGCUGUGCGGGAAUAAAUUACCCAAGUCAAAACACUUCCUAGCAUUUCAGCUGGAGUGGUCUUCCUGUACUUCCCCUUUAGGUGUUAGAUUCAUUAAUGCUUUGCUCUGGAAGCAUUAAAUCGCUUCAGGAGAACUUGACGAUGGCGGCAGAGUUAUUAACUUUUGAAAUCAAUGAAUACCCAAAAUAAAGGUCUACUCCUAGGAGGAGGUUUUGGAAUGACAAUGGUCUGCACAAGGUGUUACUGAGGAAACAGCAAUUGCAGCAUGAAGACUGCUAUCUUAAUCCGAAUUACCUUUAAUGUGUAAACAGUUCUCUUUAAUAUUAAUGAAGAAACUUUCCAAUUGAUAAUUCAAAUAUAGUAAUCUUUAAUGCUCUGAAGUCCAGAAGAUGGAGGAGAAAUACAAUUAAAUGCUGUCUGGGCUCUUGUAGAGUAAGUCAGAUGUGUGAUUUGGAUCUAAGUAAAUGUUUGUAGCAGUGUGAUGGGUAUCGGUAUAUCUCUGUUGGGUAUCAGAGCCUCAAUGGGAGCUGCAAGCAGACUGUUACAGAAGAACAACAGAUUUUUUCAUUAGGCUCUUCCCUGUUGGCUAGGAAAGAUAAGGAAGCCUUCUCCCCUGCUUGACUCAUGCAGUAGAUAAGAUAAAGAUCUUUGUAUGAGAUAAAAGCUAAGUACAGCCAGAACUUGGAAGAGCCAUUUUCUAGGAGACAAACAUUAGCAGGCAUCAGUUUGAAAAAGAAAAUAAGACAUUGAUUUAUACUGUGUUAUAGAAAAAUUAUGAAUCUGGUAGUGAAAGCAAACCCCUAGUUGUUGAUUCCAGAUGUACUUUCUUUUGGAGACCGGGACCGGACAGAGGCAUUGUCUGCAAGUUUCAAUUUCCCCCUUUUGAGGCUGGGGAAAUUUUGUCCUUUGCUCCAAGAUGGCCUUCAUACCAUGUCAACAUGCAUGGCAAUUACUUGCAAAAAUUGCUAACCUUAACAGGCUGCAAGGUUUGUCUUGUAGGGAUGAGCAUUUAUUGAAUUUGUUCUGUGGUGAGGGCAAAAAAACUUCUUAUUCCUCAGUACUACCCAAUCACUGUUCUGGUAUUGUCCCCCCAUCAUUGGAAUAACUCAGAGCCAAGCAGCAGGGCUUUCUUUCCUUGGAAGGCUCCCUCUUCAAAACACGAAUGGAGUUUAGAUUGUCCAUUUCUCUCCCUCAGAUUUUUUUUCCCUUUUUUCCCCUCUUAAUUAUCUGCAUUGCUGCUCUCUGCAUAUUAUCUACCUCACUCACUCCCAUGAAUAUAGAUGCUAGGGAUUGUGCUAGCACGCUUUCCCUUCUGUUCAGAGAUCCAGCCGGUGCUAUGUGCAAUAUUCUAGCAAUGCACACAGCAUAUUGUACACUGAGGCUGCACGAUGAGCUCUAACUGAAGUCCCCAGGGACAAAUAACCCAAAUACAGGCCUGUGUUCCUCUGGUAACUUGGCUGUAAUAUACCGUUCAUUAUGUGAGUGCUGGAGCGCCUGUGCUUUUAUGAUUAAUGAUACACAAAAUAUAAUUUUGCUGUUGCACUGUCUCCUAUUUCACGAAAUAUUUUCCUUCUAAGUGAAUAAGUUCUUUUGUCAAUAACUCAAGUAAUACAGUUUUCACGUUAUCCAAAUUCUUGGGCUUUCCUCCCCCACCUUCCCCUUCAUAUAGCCCAUCUCUCUGGAGAAUGAGGAUCGCACCCUGAAACCCAGAGUAAAACUCAGAGACAUAUCUUAACAUUACCUAGGUUUAAAAAGAAUAUUGAAACACACACAACUCUCAUUAAACAUCUAUACAUAGGAACCCCAUUAAAAAUGUGCGAACAUGCUUUAGUGGAAAGGUAUAAAUGAACCAAAGCAGUCUCCUCUGCAGUGCAACACCUGAGUAAGGCAGAGGCUCAGGUAGAAGAAUUAUUUGCUCUCGGUCAGGUUGGAUGUAACAUGGUUUAGGCUUGCUGCAGUCCCUUGCUGCACUGAUGCUUGGCUGUCAGCAGCUGGCAGGCGGCUGUCUUUUGGGGAGCAAUGGGACUCGAGUGCCCAAGGUUUGCUGAAACCAACUAAUUAGAGAAAGAAAGUGAGAACGAAGUGGAAGGAUAUUCAGGUAUGAUCAUCAGGUAUCUUACAUAAUGGAUUGUAAUAGAAAGUGGCAGAAGAUGCUGGCAAUAAAAUCAAAAAAUGAAGUGCAUUCAUUUAGCCAAUUAAGAUCAAUCAGUGGAGUGAAAGGCACUGUAUUGGUUGCAGCUAAUGCUGAGUUAACAUUUUAUUGCUAGUAACUAAAAAAUUGGCUUAAUUUCCUAUUUCAAAUCUGUUUCCAAUGUUUGCAUUCAUUUAUAAAUAAUGAAAUAAUAGUAUUAUGAUUUAUUUAAUUUUUCUCACCCAUCUUUCCUAGUUGCUGGAGUAAAAUCAUAGUGUGCUGGAACAUGAGCUUUUCCUCUAAUUCUAAAUAGCCAAUUUUCCCUGCCUUUUUGUGACCUCUCUUCAAAACUGUUUCCUAACAGUAUCCAUCCAUGAUUUCUUUUACUGAAGUGAAAAAAUGAU